rnacentral:rRNA from 1 species
CUUGCUCCACCGGAAAAAGAAGAGUGGCGAACGGGUGAGUAACACGUGGGUAACCUGCCCAUCAGAAGGGGAUAACACUUGGAAACAGGUGCUAAUACCGUAUAACAAUCGAAACCGCAUGGUUUUGAUUUGAAAGGCGCUUUCGGGUGUCGCUGAUGGAUGGACCCGCGGUGCAUUAGCUAGUUGGUGAGGUAACGGCUCACCAAGGCCACGAUGCAUAGCCGACCUGAGAGGGUGAUCGGCCACAUUGGGACUGAGACACGGCCCAAACUCCUACGGGAGGCAGCAGUAGGGAAUCUUCGGCAAUGGACGAAAGUCUGACCGAGCAACGCCGCGUGAGUGAAGAAGGUUUUCGGAUCGUAAAACUCUGUUGUUAGAGAAGAACAAGGAUGAGAGUAACUGUUCAUCCCUUGACGGUAUCUAACCAGGAAAGCCACGGCUAACUACGUGCCAGCAGCCGCGGUAAUACGUAGGUGGCAAGCGUUGUCCGGAUUUAUUGGGCGUAAAGCGAGCGCAGGCGGUUUCUUAAGUCUGAUGUGAAAGCCCCCGGCUCAACCGGGGAGGGUCAUUGGAAACUGGGA